ACGAAACGCACAAACAGGUUACGGGGCGGACACACACUUGCCGGGCGGACUGACGCAACGGCCUGUCGGGAGGAGGCGGGGCCAGUGUUAAAGGGAAGACUUGGACAGAUUGCAAAUGACGGGAUACUUCGGGUGCCCUCCCAGGAGUGCGGUUAGAUCCUGUGCAACGCGUCUGCAGUCUUCGACAACCUCACCAACGACAUACACUACUGGGACUACUAUGUGGACACUUCAGGUCCAACUUGACGGGGAUGUACAAGUGCCGCCUCCUCUUCCGACAAGCUCAAGUUGGCUCACACAUCGUCCAUCUUUCUCUGGAUGAAUCCACCCACUCCUCCCGCAUCUGCC